rnacentral:rRNA from 1 species
CCUACGGGGGGCAGCAGUGAGGAAUAUUGGUCAAUGGGCGCGAGCCUGAACCAGCCAAGUCGCGUGAGGGAAGACGGUCCUAUGGAUUGUAAACCUCUUUUGUCGGGGAGCAAAAGACGCCACGCGUGGCGUUCCGAGAGUCCCCGAAGAAAAAGCAUCGGCUAACUCCGUGCCAGCAGCCGCGGUAAUACGGAGGAUGCGAGCGUUAUCCGGAUUUAUUGGGUUUAACGGGUGCGCAGGCGGAAGAUCAAGUCAGCGGUAAAAUUGAGAGGCUAAACCGCUUCGAGCCGUUGAAACUAGUGUUCUGGAGUGAGCGUGAAGAAUGCGAAAUGCGUGGGGUAGCGGUGAAAUGCAU